ACGCACCUUGCGCUCGUUGGUAUUCGACGAGCAUGCCUGUUUGAGUGUCAUUAAAUUCUCAACCUCACCACUUUUGUAAUGAGAGUGUGUGUUGGCUUGGAUGUGGGGGUUUGCAGGUCCACUCUUUUGUGGUCUGCUCCUCUGAAAUGUAUUAGUGGGUUUGGUCCCCUAAUCUAUUGGUGUGAUAAUUAUCUACGCCGUGGAUUGGAAGACUAUUAUGAACCUGCUUCUAACCGUCCCUUACACGGACAAUACUUGACAUUUUUGACCUCAAAUCAGGUAAGACUACCGCUGAACUUAA
rnacentral:misc_RNA from 1 species